rnacentral:rRNA from 1 species
GUCUGCGACCAUGCCACCCUGAACACGCCCGAUCUCAUCUGAUCUCGGAAGCUAAGCUUAGUACUUGGAUGGGAGACCACCUAGGAAGACCAAGUGCUGUAGGUG